AAGCGCAGCAAGCAUUUGUCAGCACCAUCUGCCACUGUGAUGGACCUGACAGCUGAGGCAUGACAGAGCGGACACAGAACCCAUCAGAAGGUCUCCGAGCCACCCCCACCCCCACCCCCGCCCCUCCCAGGUAUUUUAGAGUCGCUCUCUCCUUACUGACAAACUAAGCAAAAUCUGCAGCGUCAGCAUUUAGAGGCGUCGCCUGGCUCCAUCCCACAAAGGAAGCAGCCCCAGCUGUCAACAUCCUGUUCCUGCCUGAUGGAUGCAACAGACCCUGGACACCCCACGCAGGAGCCCAGGAAACCUGCCUCCCCGAGGUUAAAAGAAAUUUAAAAAUAACAGCAGAAAAGGCCACAGGAUGAAAGAGAAUCUAAAGUCUGUAACAACACAUGACAGACCUUCCACUGCUGCCCGGGCUUGGCUCCUCACGGCGUCCCGAGCGCCCGAGUUCAGGAAUAAUCCUUUGGUUUUCAUCGCCACUGCUGUUGAUGGGCAAGAACAAACACCCCCAAAUGCCAGGUAUCCAGACCCUCAGCCGGGGGCUCUGUCAGAGUCUGUCCUCGGCUGGAUCCUCGCUCAGAGCUGACCCCUCCUCCGGCCUCCGCCUCCCCCGGUGUCUGCUCCCACACCAGCAGCGGUUCAGGUUGUGAGCAGAACCAGCUUCUCCAGAAGAAGAGGGAGGACCCUGAGGCUGGGACAAGUAACAUGCCUCUGAUCCCACCAAGAAGCAAAGCCAAGAAGAUUCACGUCCCACCUGGAUGGGACGGUCCUAUGACCUCAGGUGUGCUAGAGCCUCACUUAUCCUCUGACGGUCGCGGUCCACUUCCCCAGGCCGGCUUCCCCUAACCACUGUAAGGACAUCCACAGGGAAGCAUGGAAGGCCGGGAAUUUUGAGAACUCUUAGAGGUAAUCUUUAAAUGAUUACACUCUUUUGUUUUAAACGUCAUGUAUAAGCCCAAGGCCCUCUGUUUACCUUCCAUUUUCCCCAAAUAAACCCAAGGAGCAGUGUUUGCAGCUCAGCAGGAGCCCAGCUUUGGGGAAACACUUCUCUCUUCAGAGUUGGAACUGACCUUGCACAAAAUAUUAUGGAAGAGGAAGGGCUCCCUGCUGAAUAGGACAGAACAUCUCCCAAAGCCUCACGAGGCCACUUUUACGCUGGAGGGGCAGGAGGAGGGGCGGGGCGAGGUGUGGCGAUAAAACAAACCAAAUCUUGGAGUGGACAAUACAUGUGUUAUGUCAGACCCGGCUCUGUUCCCUGGGGGAGGGUUCACUCGCAGCUCAACCCGCUGCCUGCCAGGCCCUUAGAAUCCACAGCAGGACCCACUGUCUCUGUCCAGCCCAGAUGGGAUGCCCACAGGUACCUUUAGAAAGAUGCUGAACAUCUGUGGGGCCAAGUCAGCCCCAUAGGGCAUCUGAAGACAAACA